UAGGGAAUCUUGCGCAAUGGGCGAAAGCCUGACGCAGCCAUGCCGCGUGAAUGAUGAAGGUCUUAGGAUUGUAAAAUUCUUUCACCGGGGAAGAUAAUGACGGUACCCGGAGAAGAAGCCCCGGCUAACUUCGUGCCAGCAGCCGCGGUAAUACGAAGGGGGCUAGCGUUGCUCGGAAUUACUGGGCGUAAAGGGCGCGUAGGCGGAUAUUUAAGUUGGGGGUGAAAGCCCGGGGCUCAACCUCGGAAUAGCCUUCAAUACUGGAUAUCUUGAGUUCGGGAGAGGUGAGUGGAAUGCCGAGUGUAGAGGUGAAAUUCGUAGAUAUUCGGCGGAACACCAGUGGCGAAGGCGACUCACUGGCCCGAUACUGACGCUGAGGCGCGAAAGCGUGGGGAGCAAACAGGAUUAGAUACCCUGGUAGUCCACGCCGUAAACGAUGAGUGCUAGUUGUCGGCAUGCAUGCAUGUCGGUGACGCAGCUAACGCAUUAAGCACUCCGCCUGGGGAGU
rnacentral:rRNA from 1 species